GCAACACAUGGAGCAACUCAUUGUUUCUUUAAUGAAAAAUCAAGUAUUUUGAUGCUGAAACUAUAUUUUCAUGUGGCUGAAUUGCAAUAAUAACUAAGAUUCAUGUUUAAUUUUUUGGUUAGUCUUUACUUUUGUAUUUUUUUUAAUUUUGAUGUUGAAUUCAUGUCUUUCUAUCUUACUUGUAAAUAGAAUACAUCUUCUCAGAGCGAGGAGCAAUCAAAUGUCAAUGUUCAAUCAAAUUCUCAUGUUCAUUCCACUCAGAGUGUCAAGAACCACACAUUUGGCUCAAAAUGCAAAAUAUUAGAUUGGAUUGGAUCUGGAGAAAUUAUUGCAGAAGGUUAUUUUAUCUCAAGUGACCCAAAGGAUGAGGUUCACCAUGUUCCUCUUGGGCCUAAUGCUAUGAAAGUGGGGAUAGAUCUUGUGAGAAAGAAUGAUGCAUUUCUGUGGAGGCCUUCAACAAUUAUGUCUACUAUAGAAGAUGCUGUAGGUAGUAUAAUUGCAUGGCCAGCUGAUAAAGUUAUAAUUAGCUAAACAAAUGGACUCGCAACAAAGACAAGUGCACAAAUGAUGAUGAAUUGAAGGAUGGAGCAAGUUUCACGCAUGGUGUACUUUUGUGUAUCUUGUAAUGUUUCUAUUUUUCAUUUUUGAAGUAAAAAUUGUUCAAGAUUAUAAAACUUUAUUAUGUUAUGCUUUCAAACUUAAG